GUAGCGGUGGAAUGCGCAGAUAUCAGGAGGAACACCGAUGGCGAAGGCAGGUCUCUGGGCUGUAACUGACGCUGAGAAGCGAAAGCAUGGGGAGCGAACAGGAUUAGAUACCCUGGUAGUCCACGCCCUAAACGAUGUCGAUUAGCUGUUGGGCAGCUUGACUGCUUAGUAGCGUAGCUAACGCGUGAAAUCGACCGCCUGGGGAGUACGGUCGCAAGAUUAAAACUCAAAGGAAUUGACGGGGACCCGCACAAGCGGUGGAUGAUGUGGAUUAAUUCGAUGCAACGCGAAGAACCUUACCUGGUCUUGACAU
rnacentral:rRNA from 1 species